rnacentral:rRNA from 1 species
UGGGGAAUUGUUCGCAAUGGGCGAAAGCCUGACGACGCAACGCCGCGUGGAGGAUGAAGAAUUUCGGUUCGUAAACUCCUGUCGAGCGGGACGAAAGAUGCGCGGGUUAAUACCCCGUGCAAGUGACGGUACCGCUAAAGGAAGCCCCGGCUAACUCCGUGCCAGCAGCCGCGGUAAUACGGGGGGGGCAAGCGUUGUUCGGAAUUACUGGGCGUAAAGGGCUCGUAGGCGGCCAACUAAGUCACACGUGAAAUCCCUCGGCUCAACCGGGGAACUGCGUGUGAGACUGGAUGGCUUGAGUUUGGGAGAGGAAUGCGGAAUUCCAGGUGUAGCGGUGAAAUGCGUAGAUAUCUGGAGGAACACCGGUGGCGAAGGCGGCAUUCUGGACCAAUACUGACGCUGAGGAGCGAAAGCCAGGGGAGCAAACGGG